ACCCCACACACUGACUCCCGACCCGAGGCGCUGGAGGAGCUGCACUGAGGGAGCCGUAGUGGUGAGGUGGAGUGUAGGAGUUGUAACAUGAGAGUGAAGUGUGUUCCUGCACGUGUGUUGCCCACUCUGUUGGGGUUAACCUUCGUAGCUCUGAUACUUGAAAGCCGUUCAGUAUCACCUGUGGAAGAUCAGACAGAAGAAUUCCUCUCGAGGGUCAACACCCAUGACUUAUGCUGGAUCAGUGAGGACUAUGACCUGUUGGAUGACUGCCAGCGUUGCUCAGGUGUUGAGAAAACAAUCAUUGUACCAGCUCUGUGUCAGCUGACAGGCUACAGGCAAAAAAUAAAUUGCUAUAUUUCAGGAGAAGCAUAUCGCAGCUGUGCAGUGUUAGUGUGGCAAGAGGAACUUAGAUUUUGGCUCUUCGAGGGUCUGGUUGCAGCUGUUGGUGUUAUAGCAGGUUUAUCGACCGCCCUGAGGUAUCAAAAGCUUCGUUCACAAGGCCGUUUGGACCCAUAUCUUCUAAGUACCUCAUCAGUUUAAGUGAGACAAGUUCAGAUACCAAUAUUAAAUAUGGAAGAACAGGAUACCCUUUACCUGACAGGAGGUAAAAUUGAAGGUGAAAUUUUGGUUCCUGGUGAAACACUGAUCGCUCUCUUCACUCUACAGUAUUGCCAUGACCCAGCGAUCAGUGUGGUACUGGUACAGCAUAAAAAUGAGGCCUCUGACACACCCUCACCAUCACCACUCUCUAGCGGUGAAAAUUUUAAAACUGCGAAUCUUGACUGUGAUUCUUGGUUUCCAAUUGAUCUGCUGAUCCAGUUGUUGUGAGUCUUGGUGUUGUGCCACCAGCUGGUUCAGUUCAGCUUGUAAAACAUCGUCAUCUUCAGCCUCGGGUGAUAUCACUCCCGCCCCCAACACUGAACUCACCUCUUGGCAUUCAUCCAGAACCUAAAUAUACAAAAAACCACCAAUGCAUUAUCUCUGUUUCUAAGCCACAGUUAACUUUACAUGACAAACUCUACACUAGAAAUGUGAUAAUUUUAGUAAACAUUAAUCAACUCCUUAAGAACAACAAUACAAGAAAAUUAUAUGUUACCUUUGCAUAUUGUAAGAGCAAGUUUCCUAGUGGAAUAACCUACACACAAUUACCGGAAACACAUGUAUGAAAUUCUCAAAUAGACACACUUAUAACUUAGCUAUCAUGGUUCAUAACCAAUAAGUUAUUAUUCUUUUUCUCUAUUGACUGCAGUAUUCUCAAAAUCUAGAAAAAUAAAUAUUAAUACCCUGUACUGAUAGGUCAGACAGCAUCAGGAUUAUUCAGAUUUCUGGUUUAUUGUGCUUAUAUUCUAAGAUGUAAGUAAUUAUCACCUGUUGUAAAUCAUCCAUAGUGAUGGCAGCAGCAUCAGCUGAGGCAUCUCCUAUCAUCAUGGCACGGAGAGCCUCCACACCCACUUGAAAGGCUCCUAACACUUGCCUUUGGGAAGUAAAAAAUUCAAUAUAAAAUGAGAGACAAAGCAA